GUUUGAUCAUGGCUCAGGACGAACGCUGGCGGCGCGCCUUACGCAUGCAAGUCGAACGGUCCUUCGGGACAGUGGCGGACGGCUGAGUAACGCGUAGAUAACCUAUCCAGUGGUGGGGGAUAACCCUUCGAAAGAAGGGCUAAUACCGCAUGAGUUCCCCGGGUGGAAGUCCCGGGGAGGAAAGCCGCAAGGCGCCACAUGAGGGGUCUGCGUCCUAUCACGGUAGUUGGUGGGGUAAUGGCCUACCAAGCCUUUGACGGGUAGCUGGUCUGAGAGGACGACCAGCCAGAAGGGGACUGAGACACGGCCCCUACUCCUACGGGAGGCAGCAGCGAGGAAUCUUGGGCAAUGGGCGAAAGCCUGACCCAGCGACGCCGCGUGAGGGACGAAGGCCUUCGGGUCGUAAACCUCUUUUGUGAGGGAAGAAGUUCUGACGGUACCUCACGAAUAAGCCACGGCUAACUACGUGCCAGCAGCCGCGGUAAUACGUAGGUGGCGAGCGUUGUCCGGAUUUACUGGGCGUAAAGGGCUUGUAGGCGGUUCGUUAAGUCCGGUGUGAAAUCUCCCGGCCCAACUGGGAGGGGCCAUCGGAUACUGGCGAACUGGAGGCGGGCAGAGGAAAGCAGAAUUCCCGGUGUAGCGGUGAAAUGCGUAGAUAUCGGGAGGAAUACCAGUGGCGAAGGCGGCUUUCUGGGCCUGUCCUGACGCUGAGGAGCGAAAGCGUGGGGAGCAAACCGGAUUAGAUACCCGGGUAGUCCACGCCCUAAACGGUGGAUGCUAGGUGUGGGGGGUAUCGACCCCCUCCGUGCCGCAGCUAACGCUUUAAGCAUCCCGCCUGGGGAGUACGGGCCGCAAGGCUAAAACUCAAAGGAAUUGACGG
rnacentral:rRNA from 1 species